UUGAACGCUGGCGGCAUGCCUUACACAUGCAAGUCGAACGGCAGCACGGGUGCUUGCACCUGGUGGCGAGUGGCGAACGGGUGAGUAAUACAUCGGAAACAUGUCCUGUAGUGGGGGAUAGCCCGGCGAAAGCCGGAUUAAUACCGCAUACGAUCUACGGAUGAAAGCGGGGGACCUUCGGGCCCUCGCGCUAUAGGGUUGGCCGAUGGCUGAUUAGCUAGUUGGUGGGGUAAAGGCCUACCAAGGCGACGAUCAGUAGCUGGUCUGAGAGGACGACCAAGCCACACUGGGACUGAGACACGGCCCCAGACUCCUACGGGAGGCAGCAGUGGGGAAUUUUGGACAAUGGGCGAAAGCCUGAUCCAGCAAUGCCGCGUGUGUGAAGAAGGCCUUCGGGUUGUAAAGCACUUUUGUCCGGAAAGAAAUCCUUGGCUCUAAUACAGUCGGGGGAUGACGGUACCGGAAGAAUAAGCACCGGCUAACUACGUGCCAGCAGGCCGCGGUAAUACGUAGGGUGCGAGCGUUAAUCGGAAUUACUGGGCGUAAAGCGUGCGCAGGCGGUUUGCUAAGACCGAUGUGAAAUCCCCGGGCUCAACCUGGGAACUGCAUUGGUGACUGGCAGGCUAGAGUAUGGCAGAGGGGGGUAGAAUUCCACGUGUAGCAGUGAAAUGCGUAGAGAUGUGGAGGAAUACCGAUGGCGAAGGCAGCCCCCUGGGCCAAUACUGACGCUCAUGCACGAAAAGCGUGGGGAGCAGACAGGAUUAGAUACCCUGGUAGUCCACGCCCUAAACGAUGUCAACUAGUUGUUGGGGAUUCAUUUCCUUAGUAACGCAGCUAACGCGUGAAGUUGACCGCCUGGGGAGUACGGUCGCAAGAUUAAAACUCAAAGGAAUUGACGGGGACCCGCACAAGCGGUGGAUGAUGUGGAUUAAUUCGAUGCAACGCGAAAAAACCUUACCUACCCUUGACAUGGUCGGAAUCCUGCUGAGAGGUGGGAGUGCUCGAAAGAGAAACCGGCGCACAGGUGCUGCAUGGCUGUCGUCAGCUCGUGUCGUGAGAUGUUGGGUUAAGUCCCGCAACGAGCGCAACCCUUGUCCUUAGUUGCUACGCAAGAGCACUCUAAGGAGACUGCCGGUGACAAACCGGAGGAAGGUGGGGGAUGACGUCAAGUCCUCAUGGCCCUUAUGGGUAGGGCUUCACACGUCAUACAAUGGUCGGAACAGAGGGUUGCCAACCCGCGAGGGGGGAGCUAAUCCCAGAAAAACCGAUCGUAGUCCGGAUUGCACUCGGCAACUCGAGUGCAUGAAGCUGGAAAUCGCUAGUAAUCGCGGAUCAGCAUGCCGCGGUGAAUACGUUCCCGGGUCUUGUACACACCGCCCCGUUCACACCAUGGGAGUGGGUUUUACCAGAAGUGGCUAGUCUAACCGCAAGGAGGACGGUCACCACGGUAGGAUUCAUGACUGGGGUG
rnacentral:rRNA from 1 species